AUGCGGCCAACAAAAACCCAUUCGGCUCCACCAGUGGGGGCUUCGGAUCAACAGCCACUCCAAAUACCUCCAACCUGUUUGGGAACAGUGGGGCCAAGACCUUCGGAGGGUUCUCUAGCUCGUCCUUCGGGGAGCAGAAGACGGCCGGCACUUUCAGCUCUGGAGGAGGGAGUGUGGCGUCACAAGGCUUCGGGUUUUCUGCGCCAAAUAAAGCAGGUGGCUUCGGUGCUGCUCCAGUGUUUGGCAGCCCUCCUACUUUUGGGGGAUCCCCUGGGUUUGGAGGGGUGCCAGCAUUCGGUUCAGCCCCAGCCUUUACAAGCCCUCUGGGCUCGACGGGAGGCAAAGUGUUCGGAGAGGGCACCGCAGCCGCCAGCGCGGGAGGAUUCGGGUUCGGGAGCGGCAGCAGCACCACAUCCUUCGGCACCCUUGCCAGUCAGAACGCACCCACUUUUGGGUCGCUGUCACAGCAGAGCUCCGGCUUCGGGACCCAGAGCAGCGGGUUCUCUGGUUUCGGGUCCAACACAGGAGCGUUCAGCUUUGGAGCCUCUAACUCAUCUGUGCAGGGCUUUGGCGGCUGGAGAAGCUGAGCCACUGUCAGGGUUCCCUGUGUCUGGACCGCCAGCUGCGCCCGCCGACCUCUCACCUGUGGACACAGGAGUGGGUGUCAGUGGACUUUGUCACCAGAGCACACCCCUAGGAGGAAGAUGCAGAGACCGAAGUAGAGAUGCCUGGCCCGUGUUCUGGCCUGUCCCACCUCGGGUUUCGGGCGGGUUCCCUGCUAUUAAACCGUCAGCCUCUUCCCGUUCCCAUCGUCUGUGGGUUUGUUCAUGCCAGGAGAGAGGCACCCUAUCCUGUGCUGGGGACCCAGUAAGACCCCGUGGAGGCUGUUGACCUGCCUCUUGUCUCCUCACGACCUUAGCCCUCCAGGGGCCACUCCACUGUGGGCAAGACCUCGACAGCUCACGGUGUCGGGUGUGGUCACAGUGCAUUAGGUGCCCACGGUCGCUGUGGCUCUUGUGCGGUGUCCCAUGGCCCAGGAGGAGGUGGCAGUGCCAAGACACAGUCCAUAGCCACGAGUGUCAGUAGUCCCGGGACCCUGCUGUGCGGACUCCACUGACAGCGGGUUAUUAAAAUCCUCCUUCCUUCAGC
rnacentral:lncRNA from 1 species